rnacentral:rRNA from 1 species
GGAGGAAAAGAAACUAACAAGGAUUCCCCUAGUAACGGCGAGUGAAGCGGGAAGAGCUCAAACUGGAAACCUGUGCUUCUAGCGAGGCACCGGAUUGUAAUCUAGAGAAGUAAGGUCAGCGCGUGACCCGGAUAUAAAUCCCUUGGAAUGGGGUGUCAUAGAGGGUGAGAACCCCGUCUGUGAUCCGGCGCUCGCCGCGUACGAUCUGCUUUCGAAGAGUCGGGUUGUUUGGGACUGCAGCUCUAAUUGGGUGGUAAAUCUCAUCUAAAGCUAAAUAUCAGCCAGAGACCGAUAGCGAACAAGUACCGUGAGGGAAAGAUGAAAAGCACUUUGGAAAGAGAGUUAACAGUACGUGAAAUUGUUGGAAGGGAAACGCUUGAAGUCAGACUUGCUUGCCGAGCAAUCGGUUUGCAGGCCAGCAUCAGUUUUCCGGGAUGGAUAAUGGUAGAGAGAAGGUAGCAGUUUCGGCUGUGUUAUAGCUCUCUGCUGGAUACAUCUUGGGGGACUGAGGAACGCAGUGUGCCUUUGGCGGGGGUUUCGACCUCUUCACACUUAGGAUGCUGGUGGAAUGGCUUUAAACGACCCGUCUUGAAACACGGACC